GCUUCCCUGCUUCAUUUGUUGGUCCCAAAACUGCUGCAAGAAUAGCCUCCUCGAAGUCUUCAUUGCCUGGUAACAGCUCAGACAAUCUCCCCUCUGUUUCAUCAGAUAGCCCCUCUGUUUCAUCAGAUAGCCUUCUUGACUUGUUUUCUGAGUUGUCAGGCUCCACUGGUGGCUUAUUGAGCACUCCCAUUUCAUUCCCUCUGCUCGAAUUUGCAGAAUUUCCUGACCUUGUUCUCUUAAGGGUCUCAUGGAGUUGAUUCCCAGUUGGCUCUUUUGCCAUUUUCCAGGAAUAGAAUGGGGGUGCAUCCACAUUCAGUGAAUUCCCAAAAGUAGCAAACUGUUUGAUACUUUUUUGCUGUGAAAGCACCGUCUGGUAUGCUACUAUAUUUGAAUCUAUGUUCUCAUCGGCAAAAUCAUCAUGCAAUUUGCUUGCAUUUGUUGUUGAUAAGUUGCUAUGAUCCUUGCAAGGCUGAGGCUGCCAAAUGGAUGAUGAACCAAGAAACGCAUCAAAGAGCCUACUCUGUUCAACCCGGUCUCCUCCCUUGUUCAUCAUCUCGGAUUCAAGAUCCUUAAGCAUCUGCUGUGCCCUUUCAUAGGCUUUGAGAUGGGAAUCUAC
rnacentral:lncRNA from 1 species